rnacentral:rRNA from 1 species
UACCAGCACCCCGAGUGGUCGGGACGUUUAUUGGGCCUAAAGCAUCCGUAGCCGGUUCUACAAGUCUUCCGUUAAAUCCAACUGCUUAACAGGUGGGCUGCGGAAGAUACUAUAGAGCUAGGAGGCGGGAGAGGCAAGCGGUACUCGAUGGGUAGGGGUAAAAUCCGUUGAUCCAUUGAAGACCACCAGUGGCGAAGGCGGCUUGCCAAGCACGCGCUCGACGGUGAGGGAUGAAAGCUGGGGGAGCAAACCGG